rnacentral:ncRNA from 1 species
UAUAAAACUGGGAACUAGAAGUAGUAGUAAAAUGUUUAUUUUAAGAGACUUAGUGGUGGUGAGAACUAAGAAUAAACAUUUACGAAUUAGUCUAGGGAGUUGCUUACUCGCAACACGUGAGAGUAAGACGUUAACUUGCGUUAAAAGUUUAAGUGCUAGGGAUGUCCUAGAACAAAGGUGGUACCGCGGAAAUUAUUUCGUCCUUAUU